rnacentral:rRNA from 1 species
UCGCGGCCUCACAGCUUCGUUGGUGGGGUAAAUGGCCUACCAAGGCGUCGACGGGUAGCCGGCCUGAGAGGGUGGACGGCCACAUUGGGACUGAGAUACGGCCCAGACUCCUACGGGAGGCAGCAGUGGGGAAUAUUGCACAAUGGGCGCAAGCCUGAUGCAGCGACGCCGCGUGGGGGAUGACGGCCUUCGGGUUGUAAACUCCUUUCGUUAGGGACGAAGCCGCACCUUUUUUUGGGUGUGGUGACGGUACUUUGUUAAGAAGCACCGGCUAACUACGUGCCAGCAGCCGCGGUAAUACGUAGGGUGCGAGCGUUGUCCGGAAUUACUGGGCGUAAAGAGCUCGUAGGUGGUUUGUUGCGUCGUCUGUGAAAUUCCGGGGCUUAACUUCGGGGUGGCAGGCGAUACGGGCAUAACUAGAGUGCUGUAGGGGAGACUGGAAUUCCUGGUGUAGCGGUGGAAUGCGCAGAUAUCAGGAGGAACACCGAUGGCGAAGGCAGGUCUCUGGGCAGUAACUGACGCUGAGGAGCGAAAGCAUGGGGAGCGAACAGGAUUAGAUACCCUGGUAGUCCAUGCUGUAAACGGUGGGCGUUAGGUGUGGGGACCGGUUUGGUUUCUGUGCCGUAGCUAACGCAUUAAGCGCCCCGCCUGGGGAGUACGGCCGCAAGGCUAAAACUCAAAGGAAUUGACGGGGGCCCGCACAAGCGGCGGAGCAUGUGGAUUAAUUCGAUGCAACGCGAAGAACCUUACCUGGGUUUGACAUGCACCAGACGGUUGUAGAGAUACGUACCUCCCUUUGUGGUUGGUGUGCAGGUGGUGCAUGGUUGUCGUCAGCUCGUGUCGUGAGAUGUUGGGUUAAGUCCCGCAACGAGCGCAACCCUUGUCUUAUGUUGCCAGCACGUUUGGGUGGGGACUCAUGAGAGACUGCCGGGGUUAACUCGGAGGAAGGUGGGGAUGACGUCAAAUCAUCAUGCCCUUUAUGCCCAGGGCUUCACACAUGCUACAAUGGUUAGUACAACGCGCAGCAAACCUGUGAGGGUGAGCGAAUCGCUGAAAGCUAAUCUCAGUUCGGAUUGGGGUCUGCAACUCGACCCCAUGAAGUCGGAGUCGCUAGUAAUCGCAGAUCAGCAAUGCUGCGGUGAAAUACGUUUCCCGGGCCCUUGUUCCCACCCCCC